UACGUAGGUGGCAAGCGUUGUCCGGAAUUACUGGGUGUAAAGGGAGCGCAGGCGGGAAGCCAAGUCAGCUGUGAAAACUACGGGCUUAACUUGUAGACUGCAGUUGAAACUGGUUUUCUUGAGUGAAGUAGAGGUUGGCGGAAUUCCGAGUGUAGCGGUGAAAUGCAUAGAUAUCACGCAGAACCCCGAUUGCGAAGGCAGCAUACCGGCGCCCUACUGACGCUGAGGCACGAAAGUGCGGGUAUCGAACAGG
rnacentral:rRNA from 1 species